UACGUAGGUGACAAGCGUUGUCCGGAUUUACUGGGCGUAAAGAGCGCGCAGGCGGUCGAUCAAGUCGCGUGUGAAAGCCCCCGGCUCAACUGGGGAGGGUCACGCGAUACUGCUCGACUCGAAGGCAGGAGAGGGAAGUGGAAUUCCCGGUGUAGUGGUGAAAUGCGUAGAUAUCGGGAGGAACACCAGUGGCGAAGGCGACUACCUGGCCUGUUCUUGACGCUGAGGCGCGAAAGCUAGGGGAGCAACGGGAU
rnacentral:rRNA from 1 species